GGGAGUUUGGCCGAGUGGUUAAGGCGUCGUGUUUAGGUCUUUCAAUAUAAAUUGGAACACUUGUAACCGCGAUGGGAAACCGCGCAGGUUCGAAUCCUGCAGCUCUCA